UAACGACUCUCGGCAACGGAUAUCUCGGCUCUCGCAUCGAUGAAGAACGUAGCGAAAUGCGAUACUUGGUGUGAAUUGCAGAAUCCCGUGAACCAUCGAGUCUUUGAACGCAAGUUGCGCCCGAAGCCAUUANGCCGAGGGCACAUCUGCC
rnacentral:rRNA from 1 species